rnacentral:tRNA from 1 species
UGGCGCAACGGUAGCGCGUUCGACUCCAGAUCGAAAGGUGUACGUUCGAAUACAUAC